rnacentral:rRNA from 1 species
UUGCCCAGACAACUAGGAUGUUGGCUUAGAAGCAGCCAUCAUUUAAAGAGUGCGUAAUAGCUCACUAGUCGAGUGACACUGCGCCGAAAAUGUACCGGGGCUAAACAUAUUACCGAAGCUGUGGAUUGUCCUUUGGACAAUGGUAGGAGAGCGUUCUAAGGGCGUUGAAGCAUGAUCGUAAGGACAUGUGGAGCGCUUAGAAGUGAGAAUGCCGGUGUGAGUAGCGAAAGACGGGUGAGAAUCCCGUCCACCGAUUGACUAAGGUUUCCAGAGGAAGGCUCGUCCGCUCUGGGUUAGUCGGGUCCUAAGCUGAGGCCGACAGGCGUAGGCGAUGGAUAACAGGUUGAUAUUCCUGUACCACCUAUAAUCGUUUUAAUCGAUGGGGGGACGCAGUAGGAUAGGCGAAGCGUGCGAUUGGAUUGCACGUCUAAGCAGUAAGGCUGAGUAUUAGGCAAAUCCGGUACUCGUUAAGGCUGAGCUGUGAUGGGGAGAAGACAUUGUGUCUUCGAGUCGUUGAUUUCACACUGCCGAGAAAAGCCUCUAGAUAGAAAAUAGGUGCCCGUACCGCAAACCGACACAGGUAGUCAAGAUGAGAAUUCUAAGGUGAGCGAGCGAACUCUCGUUAAGGAACUCGGCAAAAUGACCCCGUAACUUCGGGAGAAGGGGUGCUCUUUAGGGUUAACGCCCAGAAGAGCCGCAGUGAAUAGGCCCAAGCGACUGUUUAUCAAAAACACAGGUCUCUGCUAAACCGUAAGGUGAUGUAUAGGGGCUGACGCCUGCCCGGUGCUGGAAGGUUAAGAGGAGUGGUUAGCUUCUGCGAAGCUACGAAUCGAAGCCCCAGUAAACGGCGGCCGUAACUAUAACGGUCCUAAGGUAGCGAAAUUCCUUGUCGGGUAAGUUCCGACCCGCACGAAAGGCGUAACGAUUUGGGCACUGUCUCAACGAGAGACUCGGUGAAAUCAUAGUACCUGUGAAGAUGCAGGUUACCCGCGACAGGACGGAAAGACCCCGUGGAGCUUUACUGUAGCCUGAUAUUGAAAUUCGGCACAGCUUGUACAGGAUAGGUAGGAGCCUUUGAAACGUGAGCGCUAGCUUACGUGGAGGCGCUGGUGGGAUACUACCCUAGCUGUGUUGGCUUUCUAACCCGCACCACUUAUCGUGGUGGGAGACAGUGUCAGGCGGGCAGUUUGACUGGGGCGGUCGCCUCCUAAAAGGUAACGGAGGCGCUCAAAGGUUCCCUCAGAAUGG